CCUGGAUGUUCACAUAAUAUCAUCUUACAUUUCAUAUGUGCCUGCUCAUUUUUACAAUUGCGGUCUGCAUGCAGUAAAGUUCAUCCUGAAGCAACCAACCUCACCAUGGAUAAUUCAAUUGCAGUGACACUAAAGCACUGUCCACGCCAUGGAUCUCGGAAGGAUGAUGCUGCAGUGAGACAUUGGAGCAGGGACCUGAAACGGAUGAAUUUGCUUGUUAAUGUUGACUUUAAUAUUUAAUAACAACAUUAUAAUGUUAUUAAAGUUUUUGAU